rnacentral:rRNA from 1 species
CCUACGGGAGGCAGCAGUGGGGAAUAUUGCACAAUGGGGGAAACCCUGAUGCAGCGACGCCGCGUGAGUGAAGAAGUAUUUCGGUAUGUAAAGCUCUAUCAGCAGGGAAGAAAAUGACGGUACCUGACUAAGAAGCCCCGGCUAACUACGUGCCAGCAGCCGCGGUAAUACGUAGGGGGCAAGCGUUAUCCGGAUUUACUGGGUGUAAAGGGAGCGUAGACGGCAGCACAAGUCUGGAGUGAAAUGCCAGGGCUUAACCACGGAACUGCUUUGGAAACUGUGCAGCUAGAGUGCAGGAGAGGUAAGUGGAAUUCCUAGUGUAGCGGUGAAAUGCGUAGAUAUUAGGAGGAACACCAGUGGCGAAGGCGGCUUACUGGACUGUAACUGACGUUGAGGCUCGAAAGCGUGGGGAGCAAACAGGAUUAGAUACCCCGGUAGUC